ACGCAGCAACGCCGCGCUGAGUGAUGAAGGCUUUCGGGUCGUAAAGCUCUGUCAAGUGGGAAGAACUCUUGCCUCCGGAUAAUGCAGGGGAGCUGACGGUACCACUGAAGGAAGCACCGGCUAACUCCGUGCCAGCAGCCGCGGUAAUACGGAGGGUGCAAGCGUUAUUCGGAAUUACUGGGCGUAAAGGGCGCGCAGGCGGCCUUGUAAGUCAGUUGUGAAAGCCCGGGGCUCAACCCCGGAAGUGCGACUGAAACUG
rnacentral:rRNA from 1 species